GGGUCAAUGAUUAGAACUCAUAUGGUCUGAAAAUGCGAUGAUGACCUAAAAAUCAUGCUCAAUAGGUGUACACUGAGGUGC